rnacentral:rRNA from 1 species
CCCUUAGAUGUUCUGGGCCGCACGCGCGCUACACUGACGAAUGCAACGAGCUUAUAACCUUGGCCGAAAGGUCUGGGUAAUCUCCAAAUUUCGUCGUGAUGGGGAUAGAUUAUUGCAAUUAUUAAUCUUCAACGAGGAAUGCCUAGUAAGCGCAAGUCAUCAGCUUGCGUUGAUUACGUCCCUGCCCUUUGUACACACCGCCCGUCGCUACUACCGAUUUCGAGUGGUCCGGUGAAGCUUUUGGACUGCGCGUGGCUUCGUGCCGUGUCGCGGAAAGUCAGCUAAACCUUAUCACUUAGAGGAAGUAAAANUCGUANCA